rnacentral:lncRNA from 1 species
AUGUAUAGGCUUCCAAAAUCUGGAUAUCCUCUCCCAGGGCUUGCUGAUGUGUCUGAGAAGGGUUUACAGUCAUGGGGGACACACUACUGGAGCCUGGGAGGUCCAUGCCUGUGCAGCCCACCACAGAGCAGAGAGCUCACUGCAUGCUGCCACUUCUGGAACAAAAGAGAGCAGUUUCAAGACUCUGCUGGUUCCAGGUGGCAAGCUGCCAGUGUCAUCCUCCAGUCAUCAGAUUCCGAAGUGAGACUAGCAGAUUUCUCAGAUGAUCCACACUUCCCAUCUCGGAAGAGAGAAUGGUCAUCUUGUGCAGCAAUGAAUGGAAGAUCUGCUUUGCUGUUUGUCUCUAUCUCUCUCUCCUUGUCCUGCUGACUUUCAGAUAAGUUAGAUUUAAAAAUUUAAAAUACUCAAUAGAAAAAAGGAAUUAUAGGAUAAAACAUUUUGGGGAAAGGAUUUUGAAAUCUUGCACUUUUUUUUCAUAAAAUGUAUUUCCUGUAAACUCUUGAACUACUUUCAGAUAUCAAUAAAAAUGUAGUUACUGUGUUUCCA